rnacentral:siRNA from 1 species
UACGUGCACUAUUUAGCUAAGCCU